rnacentral:lncRNA from 1 species
CACAAUCAUGGUUCCAGGCUGUAAGAAUGUUGCAAAGAAGAUGGCCAGGCUGCCAAUGUUGCUCAGCACGAUCAUGGUUCCAGGCUGUAAGAAUGUCGCAAAGAAGAUGGCCAGGCCCCUGCAGGCUGCAAAGGUUCCCCAGAAGAUGGAAUUCAAGCCAGCUGCCUCGCUCUCUUCCAUGCCAACAUGGGUGGUGGCGAAGGAGAAUAUGUAAGAGCCGUAUGUUAUCUCGGCUCCCACAUAGAAGAAGAAGAAGAGGAAGAGCAGGCAUAGCAGGGCCCUGUGAUAUUUAGCCCUUCGAGCUCCCUCAGCAGAUGCUCUGGGUUUUUUCUGCCUUGAAUGUUUCUUACAAAACAGACCAAACAGAAAGACAGAAACUACUAAAAUAAAGGUGCCAAUGGAAGCAUAUGCCCACAGCAGAUUCAUGUCAUCGGGUACCGCAAACACGGAGUCUGAGGUGCCGUUGGAGGAUCGGUUCAGCAUCAGAGUGUCAAGGUCGGACUCGGUGUGGUUCUGAGCAGGUGCUGUACCCCAGGCCAACUUAGCCAGCAGGGGAGCCAGAAAGGCACCCAAGGCGAAACUGAAGUGCAAGGCCUGCAUUUGUGGGGCUCCUUUGUCCCCCCAGAGAUCCAAGAUGAGAACAUUUGCACCU